rnacentral:rRNA from 1 species
CCUACGGGUGGCAGCAGUGAGGAAUAUUGGUCAAUGGGCGAGAGCCUGAACCAGCCAAGUCGCGUGAAGGAUGACGGCCCUACGGGUUGUAAACUUCUUUUGUCAGGGAGCAAUUGGGUCCACGCGUGGGCUUCGCGAGAGUACCUGCAGACAAAGCAUCGGCAAACUCCGUGCCAGCAGCCGCGGUAAUACGGAGGAUGCGAGCGUUAUCGGGAUUUAUUGGGUUUAAAGGGUGCGUAGGCGGACUAUCAAGUCAGCGGUAAAAAUUCGGGGCUCAACCCCGCCGUGCCGUUGAAACUGAUGGGCUAGAGUGGGCGAGAAGUAGGCAGAAUGCGUGGUGUAGCGGUGAAAUGCAUAGAUAUCACGCAGAACUCCGAUUGCGAAGGCAGCAUACCGGAGCCAAACUGACGCUGAAGCACGAAAGCGUGGGUAUCGAACAGGAUUAGAUACCCUGGUAGUC